CGCUGGCGGCGUGCCUAACACAUGGAUGUAAUGUUCUAGCGGCGGACGGGUGAGUAACGCGUGAGCAACCUGUCCCUUACAGGGGGAUAACACAGCGAAAGUUGUACUAAUACCGCAUAAGACCACAGAGUGACAUCGCUUAGGGGUCAAAGGAGUAAUCCGGUAAGGGGUGGGCUCGCGUCCGAUUAGAUAGUUGGUGAGGUAACGGCCCACCAAGUCGACGAUCGGUAGCCGACCUGAGAGGGUGAUCGGCCACAUUGGGACUGAGACACGGCCCAAACUCCUACGGGAGGCAGCAGUGGGGAAUAUUGGGCAAUGGGGGAAACCCUGACCCAGCAACGCCGCGUGAGGGAAGAAGGUUUUCGGAUCGUAAACCUCUGUCCUUGGUGAAGAGAAAGAGACGGUAGCCAAGGAGGAAGCCCCGGCUAACUACGUGCCAGCAGCCGCGGUAAUACGUAGGGGGCGAGCGUUGUCCGGAAUGAUUGGGCGUAAAGGGCGCGUAGGCGGCCCGGUAAGUCUGGAGUGAAAGUCCUGCUUUUAAGGUGGGAAUUGCUUUGGAUACUGUCGGGCUUGAGUGCAGGAGAGGUAAGUGGAAUUCCCAGUGUAGCGGUGAAAUGCGUAGAGAUUGGGAGGAACACCAGUGGCGAAGGCGACUUACUGGAC
rnacentral:rRNA from 1 species